AUCCCCUCAACAAAUAAUCUCCCAACAUUUCAAAAAAAAAAAAAUCUCCCAAACCCUAAAAAAAAUCUCCCAGGCGGGCGGCGAUUUUCCUGCCGUGGCGGUUGCCCGAGAAAAAUAUCGGGAGGCUGACGAGCGGAUGUUGAAGAAGCAGGAGCAGCCGGCGGAGGGGAGGGGGCCAAAUCAUCUCGACGCGAGUACGACCCCGUACAGAGGGAAUACACAUACACCCGCUUCUUCAACCCCAGACUCGAUCUCGAUAAGUUGUGUAUGCUGCAGCAACAAAGAGCUAGUCGUCGUCGUAUGACAAUGAGACAACAAAUCGAGAAAUUACAUGAGGAAGCUACGACCACGCACUGCAAGGUGGUCCCGAGACUCUUGGAGCAUGAAGAGAUAUGGAGAGGGAAUUUUUUUAAGAGGCUCUCCAUAUAAAGAUAUGGGGGUUUCUUUGGCGAUGCUCUAGCUAAAUAUUAUACAAUAUUCAUGAAGGAAAAAAUAUGCUGCGGAAUAUAACAGCAUAUGAGAUGGUAAGUUCUGUGUUUGCGGAAACAAACCAUUCCCUGCAUCAUGAUGUUGGCACGGUACUGCCAUGGUAAUAUCUCUUAGAAUUAGAAGUG